rnacentral:rRNA from 1 species
CGUACGUACUUCGGGUAUCGAGCUGUUUGGUCUAAUUUUACCAUUAAACAUUAGUACCAGUAUGUAACGAAAUAAUACGAACAAAAAAAACUUUACAACAACGGAUCUCUUGGCUCUCGCAUCGAUGAAGAACGCAGCGAAAUGUGAUAAGUAAUGUGAAUUGCAGAAUUCAGUGAAUCAUCGAAUCUUUGAACGCACCUUGCGCUCCCUGGCAUUCCGGGGAGCAUGCCUGUUUGAGUGUCAUGAACUCUUCAACCCACCAGUUUCUAGUAGACUGUGUGAUGUUUGGAUCUUGAGUGUUGCUAGUCUGACUAGCUCGUUCGUAAUAUAUUAGCAUCUCUAAUUCGACUUCGGAUUGACUCAGUGUAAUAGGACUAUUCGCUGAGGACACUUUUAUUAGUGGCCGUAUGAGAACCAGUAGAAGCUUCCAACUACUUAGUCAACUUUGAUUUAGACCUCAGAUCAGGCAGGAUUACCCGCUGAACUUAA